rfam:Aureococcus anophagefferens unplaced genomic scaffold ATRANscaffold_1, whole genome shotgun sequence.
GGGGGUAUAGCUCAGGGGCAGAGCGAUCGCUUCGCAUGCGAUAAUCGUUGGUAGGACGCCUACCAGCGAUCGUCGGGCCGCGGGUUCAAAUCCCUCUACCUCCA